AGCGAACGCUGGCGGCAGGCCUAACACAUGCAAGUCGAACGAACUCUUCGGAGUUAGUGGCGGACGGGUGAGUAACACGUGGGAACGUGCCUUUAGGUUCGGAAUCACUCAGGGAAACUUGUGCUAAUUCCGAAUGUGCCCUUCGGGGGUACGAUUUAUCGCCUGUAGAGCGGCCCGCGUCUGAUUAGCUAGUUGGUGAGGUAAAGGCUCACCAAGGCGACGAUCAGUAGCUGGUCUGAGAGGAUGAUCAGCCACAUUGGGACUGGGACACGGCCCAAACGCCUACGGGAGGCAGCAGUGGGGAAUCUUGCGCAAUGGGCGAAAGCCUGACGCAGCCAUGCCGCGUGAAUGAUGAAGGUCUUAGAAUUGUAAAAUUCUUUCACCGGAGACGAUAAUGACGGUACCCGGAGAAGAAGCCCCGGCUAACUUCGU
rnacentral:rRNA from 1 species